rnacentral:rRNA from 1 species
UACGUAGGUGGCAAGCGUUGUCCGGAUUUACUGGGCGUAAAGAGCGCGCAGGCGGCCAAGUCAGUCGAAUGUGAAAGCCCCCGGCUACAUGGGGAGGGUCAUUCGAUACUGCUCGGCUCGAAGACAGGAGAGGGAAGCUGGAAUUCCCGGUGUAGUGGUGAAAUGCGUAGAUAUCGGGAGGAACACCAGUGGCGAAGGCGACUUCUGGCCUGUUCUUGACGCUGAGGCGCGAAAGCUAAGGGGAGCAACGGGGAUUAAGAAACCCG